rnacentral:rRNA from 1 species
CAGAAUUGACGAGGGGCCGCACAACCAGCGGAGCAUCUUGUGUUAUAAGAAGCAGCGCGAAGAACCUCAUCACCUCGUCUCGUCCUCUUAUAACACCAGAGAUAGUGGUUUUUCUUCUUGGACAGAGUGACAACUGGUGCAUCGUGGUCGUCAGCUCCUCUCGUGAGAUGUUGGGUUAAGUACCGCAACGAGCGCAACCCUCGAUGAUAGUUGCCAGCAUUAAGUAGGGCACUAUAAGGUGACUGCCGGCGACAACCCGGAGGAAGGUGGGGAGGACGUCAACUCAUCAUGCCCCUUAUGACCUGGGCUACACACCUGCUACAACGGACAGAACAAAGGGCUGCGAGACCGCAAGGUUUAGCCAAUCCCACAAAUCUGUUCUCAGUUCGGAUCGCAGUCUGCAACUCGUCUGCGUGAAGCAGGAAUAGUUAGUAAUCGUGGAUCAGCAUGCCGCGGCGAAUAAGUUGUUGGGCCUCGUACUCCCCGCCCGUCACCCCACGAGAAGAGCUACAUCCGAAGUCGGUGAGGUAAGUAGAUGGAACCAGC